rnacentral:rRNA from 1 species
CCUGCGGAAGGAUCAUUGAA